GGUAGAAUAUAUGAGCACCGCAGUUUAAAUCAUCUAACAAUAGAUUCACGAAACAAGUGGAAAACUCGAGAAAUAAAACUGCUUUUAAUGAAGACUGUGAGAAAGUUAAACUUUAUAAACCGCGUUAUGAGACGAGAUGAUGAGAGACUGAAUCUUUACCUCAGAGGAACAUUUAUUUCUUUGUUCUUUCAUUUAAAUUUCUCCUCGACCGUUCUCCAGACGUGGACAACUAUUCUGAAGACAAUGACAGUUAUUCUUCAGAGCAGGAGGUCAGUGAUGAUGCCGUUCAGGGUCAGUGGAUAUGAACAGAAGUUCAGAUGCGUCUACAGCGCUUCACUCUGCAGCUGUUGAGCAGACGGAGGAGAAGACAAUGUGUCACAUGUGACGGGGAUGUGAAUGCAGACAAACCAGCAGCAACCAUCGGCAAACUCUGCAAGGCCGAGUCUCCGACUCUCAUGUCGUGGAGACGCUGUGUGUUUCGUUAAAAAAAACGACUGCUUCACGAACGCUUUGGUUAAAAGUGGGGCUAUUCCAACCAUUAAAACUUUACAAGGACAGUCUGGAGCUUCCGAUUUGCAGCCUUGGAUAAGAACAGAUAUUCAGAUGAGUCUACAGCGCUUCACUCUACAGCUGUUGAGCAGACGGAGGAGGAGACAAUGUGUCACAUUUGACAGAAAUGUGAACGCAGACAAAUCAACAGCAAACAUCGGCAAACUCUGCAAGGCCGAUUCUCAGACUCUCAUGUCGUGGAGACGCUGUGUCUUUCGUUGCAAAAAGAAAGACUCUUUGUUUGCCCAGCCAAAAUAACACAACUGAAAAGGAAUGGUUCAAUUUUAUUUGUUCCAGAAAAGUACAAACCGAAUGUUCAAGUUUGUGCAGCUCAUUUCCAGACGACUGCUUCACGAACGCUUUGGUUAAAAGUGGGGCUAUUCCAACCAUAAAUACUUUACAAGGACAGUCUGGAGCUUCCGGUUUGCAGCCUGGUGGAGAUGUGUUAACAGUGGAUAUGAACAGAAGUUCAGAUGAGUCUAUAGCACUGGACUCUACAGCUGUGGUACGUACACAUUUUUGAUUAUGACACAAGUAUACAUUUGACUUACUAAUAUGUUACUAAUAGUACAGAAACACAACAUAUAGAUAUAAAUGACACAAUGAUGAUGAUCACUGAACUGAAUCCACUGUACUGUGACUCUCUGUCACACAUCAGUUCACAUGUGUUAUCGGUAGCUUUUUUUCUGAUGUGUCUAAGUGGUCGUUGUCAUGGCUACAUGUCAGUUUCUGUGGCUGUGUGCUAGUGUUUAUUUGUGAGUGCAGGAGCAGACGGCUGGGGGGGAUGUCACAUGUAACGGGGAUGUGAACGCAGACAAAUCAGCAGCAAACAUCGGCAAACUCUGCAAGGCCGAUUCUCAGACUCUCAUGUCACUUAGGCGGCCUCUCGGAAGAAGAAGUUGAAGAGGAGACCACGACCCCGUCAGCAGCUGCGGCAGAAGCAACGCAUAUUUGCGGAGACAUGCGGAGAACAGACUACUGACUAUACCUCUUCUAUAAUUAUUGAGGUUAUUUUUACUGAAAUAAAGAGUUUAAUCUAA